ACCCAGCUAGCUUGGUCAGUAGAGCAUGGGACUCUUAAUCUCAGGGUUGUGGGUUCCUGCUCCACACUGGGCA
rnacentral:tRNA from 1 species